rnacentral:rRNA from 1 species
GACGAACGCUGGCGGCGUGCUUAAAACAUGCAAGUCGAACGGAAAGGCCCUGCUUUUGUGGGGUGCUCGAGUGGCGAACGGGUGAGUAACACGUGAGUAACCUGCCCUUGACUUUGGGAUAACUUCAGGAAGCUGGGGCUAAUACCGGAUAGGAGCUCCUGCUGCAUGGUGGGGGUUGGAAAGUUUCGGCGGUUGGGGAUGGACUCGCGGCUUAUCAGCUUGUUGGUGGGGUAGUGGCUUACCAAGGCUUUGACGGGUAGCCGGCCUGAGAGGGUGACCGGCCACAUUGGGACUGAGAUACGGCCCAGACUCCUACGGGAGGCAGCAGUGGGGAAUAUUGCACAAUGGGCGGAAGCCUGAUGCAGCAACGCCGCGUGCGGGAUGACGGCCUUCGGGUUGUAAACCGCUUUCGCCUGUGACGAAGCGUGAGUGACGGUAAUGGGUAAAGAAGCACCGGCUAACUACGUG